UUCCCCCGUGCUAGGAGGGUUAAGGGCUGCAAAGCUCACGGAAGAAACGAUCAAUUUGAAAUGCAUACACUUUCAUAGGACAUGGCGUGUCCCGUCCCCAAUCUGAUGUGGGGCAGCAUUGAACCAGGAAAAUGCUGUGGAAACAUCCACAGGGAAACUCUUUCAAACUCCCGUUUGGAGCCUUCAAAAAGUGGGGCGUAUGACAUCAAUAAUCACGCCUGAUUCUUUUUUCUUUCACUUUUGCCAAAAUGAGGUUUUAUUUUGAAGGUCGUUUGACAGUAGGGAGACCCAGGAUUCACCGGGCUCGGAAUCCAGGUCACGUCUCUGCUCACGCCGGUGGUGCUGGUCACCCCUGGUUGCUUCCGCGGAGCUUCUGCACCAGAAACUGCCUCUCCCCCGGCGCCGGCCCCUCCCUCCUUCACCAUCUGAGUCUAACACGCAGAGGCCAUCCUUUCGGGUCGUUUGCUCUGCAGUUGCCCACCUGGAGGACCCCUCCGGGCACACCCCUGUCUGCCGCGCCCUCUGGUCCUCACAGGUGUCCUGGGAACCUGAGGAUGGCCUGGGGCCCGAGUGGACGAGGACCGCUGGGGCUGUGGCUCUGCCCCUGCCACGCCGCCCCCUCCAUCCGGCACGGAGCAGCCGGGCAGCUUCGAACACCACACCGGAGGUGACGAGUGCGCAUGAGAGGCAGCGUGCCCCCCUCCUCGCGGACAGAAGAGCGGACGGCACCGCUGAGCUGACGGAGGCCCGGCCGCGGGACGCGGGUGCCCGGGGUCGGGAGGGGCCGGGCAGGGCAGCCCCGCGGACGGCCCUGGCUCCAGGGUCUGGAGCAGCACUGCCCACCAGGGAGCCCCCGUCACAGCAUCCUGUCUGGAGACCAGCUCAGCUUCACUCGUCCCAACCUUCCUGAGUCCUCAUUUACCUUCACAGACGGUCCGGGCCAAAGACAGACUGCUCAUUGCAGUUGUGCAGAAAUACAACUGAUUUUUGCAUAUUGAUCUUGUAUCCUACAACCUUGGCGCACUUUCACUGCCUCCGUUUUCUGGACGAGGAAACUGGAGAUGGCGGGUGACCUGCCACCGCCCCUGUGACGUCGGGUGACAUCGGGGGGGACAUGCGGACGGUCUGCACCCAGCUGGGGCUGGCCCACAGCUGCCCCGGCCUCCGCCCUCGUCACCCGCGCCUCUGCCUGCUCUGCUCAGAGCUCUGAGCCGCCGGAGGACGACCGUGUCCCUUAAGGAGGAGGAAGCACGGGUGCUACCGAGGCUUCCUUGGCAAUUUUUUCUUUAAUCAAAACCAUCACGAUUUGCGGCUCCAUCUUGAUUACGCCUCUCCUGCAGGCACCCCUGAUCCCCUGCCUCAUCCUUGAUUUUUUAUUUAAAUUCUCCCCACUCUUCGUUCUGAUUUCUAGGUCAGAGACUUUGAGACUCAUCCUUGCUUCAAGUGGGCUUGGCGAUUCUGCCCGGCGUGAGCUUGUUCGUGAGGGCGAGGGACAGGGGUGUCCGGAGGGGCAGUGGGCGGCCCCCGCGGUGCAGGCCAGGGGCCCGGGCGCCGUCUUCCUUGACCCCUCUCUCUCUCUUUU